CACGGUGGUCAGAUCUCCGUC
rnacentral:siRNA from 1 species